rnacentral:misc_RNA from 1 species
UACGUAGGUGGCGAACGUUAUCCGGAAUUACUGGGCGUAAAGGGUCCGCAGGCGGGCGCGCAAGUCUGGCGUGAAAGCUCCCGGCUCAACUGGGAGAAGCCGUUGGAAACUGCGCGUCUUGAAUCACACAGAGGUCGGUGGAAUUCCCGGUGUAGUGGUGGAAUGCGUAGAGAUCGGGAGGAACCUCGAAAGCGAAGGCAACCGGCUGGGUGCUGAUUGACGCUGAGGGACGAAAGCGUGGGGAGCGAACAGG